rnacentral:misc_RNA from 1 species
UCCGGCUUGUCACCGGCAGUUUCCUUAGAGUAGCCCAACUGAAUGAUGGCAACUAAGGAUGAGGGUUGCGCUCGUUGCGGGACUUAACCCAACAUCUCACGACACGAGCUGACGACAGCCAUGCAGCACCUGUGUGGUAGCCAGCCGAACUGAAGAGGUAAAUUUCUCUACCCCAUACUACCCAUGUCAAGGCCUGGUAAGGUUCUUCGCGUUGCCUCGAAUUAAACCACAUGCUCCACCGCUUGUGCGGGUCCCCGUCAAUUCCUUUGAGUUUUAAUCUUGCGACCGUACUCCCCAGGCGGGAUGCUUAACGCGUUAGCUGCGCCACUGAGGCGUAAGCCCCAACGGCUAGCAUCCAUCGUUUACGGCGUGGACUAC